GAUGAACGCUGGCGGCGUGCCUAAUACAUGCAAGUCGAGCGAACAGAUAAGGAGCUUGCUCCUUUGACGUUAGCGGCGGACGGGUGAGUAACACGUGGGUAACCUACCUAUAAGACUGGAAUAACUCCGGGAAACCGGGGCUAAUGCCGGAUAACAUUUAGAACCGCAUGGUUCUAAAGUGAAAGAUGGUUUUGCUAUCACUUAUAGAUGGACCCGCGCCGUAUUAGCUAGUUGGUAAGGUAACGGCUUACCAAGGCAACGAUACGUAGCCGACCUGAGAGGGUGAUCGGCCACACUGGAACUGAGACACGGUCCAGACUCCUACGGGAGGCAGCAGUAGGGAAUCUUCCGCAAUGGGCGAAAGCCUGACGGAGCAACGCCGCGUGAGGGAUGAAGGUCUUCGGAUCGUAAAACUCUGUUAUUAGGGAAGAACAAAUGUGUAAGUAACUGUGCACGUCUUGACGGUACCUAAUCAGAAAGCCACGGCUAACUACGUG
rnacentral:rRNA from 1 species